ACUAUAUUUAUUAUUGUGUUUUACUUCUGUACUUACCUUUUUUUUUUUCAUUAACAGAGAGAAGUGGAGCACACCAAGACCUCCCGCUGUACCGAAAAAGGCAACAAAGAAGCCCUUGCCACUUCGAAAAGUCGUAAAGCCUGCAAAACGCGCUGACAUCACAUGGCUUCCCCCUGUCGGCCAAUCACUGGGAGGACACAGCAAGUGCUUGGAAGAGAAGUGGAGCACACCAAGACCUCCUGCUGUACCGAAAAAGGACACAAAGCAGCCCGUCCAACUUCGAAAUGUCGUAACGCCUGCAAAACGCGCUGACAUCACAUGGCUUCCCGCUGCCAGCCAAUCACUGGGAAGACACAGCAAGUGCUUUGAAGAGAAGUGGAGCACACCAAGACCUCCUGCUGUACCGAAAAAGGACACAAAGCAGCCCGUCCAACUUCGAAAUGUU